CAGCACCGGGUUAUGGGCCCAGUGUCUAUCCCAGCACCGGGUUAUGGGCCCAGUGUCAAUCCCAGCACCAGGUUAUGGGCCCAGUGUCUAUCCCAGCACCAGGUUAUGGGCCCAGUGUCUAUCCCAGCACCAGGUUAUGGGCCCAGUGUCUAUCCCAGCACCAGGUUAUGGGCCCAGUGUCUAUCCCAACACCAAGUAAUGAGCAUGGAGUCUAUCCCAGCAGCAGG